AUUGAACGCUGGCGGCGUGCUUAACACAUGCAAGUCGAACGCGAAAGGGACUUCGGUCCUGAGUAAAGUGGCGCACGGUGAGUAACGCGUGGAUAAUCUGCCCUUAUGAUUGGAAUAACAGUUGGAAACGGCUGCUAAUACCGGAUACGCUCAAAAUGAACUUUUGAGGAAAGAUGGCCUCUGCUUGCAUGCUAUCGCAUAAGGAUGAGUCCGCGUCCCAUUAGCUUGUUGGCGGGGUAACGGCCCACCAAGGCAACGAUGGGUAGCCGAUUUGAGAGGAUGAUCGGCCACACUGGAACUGAAACACGGUCCAGACUCCUACGGGAGGCAGCAGUGGGGAAUAUUGCGCAAUGGGCGAAAGCCUGACGCAGCGACGCCGCGUGAGGGAUGAAGGUUUUCGGAUCGUAAACCUCUGUCAGAAGGGAAGAAACUACGUUGUGCUAAUCAGCAGCGUACUGACGGUACCUUCAAAGGAAGCACCGGCUAACUCCGUGCCAG
rnacentral:rRNA from 1 species